GCGCCAGUAGCUCAGCUGGAUAGAGUACCUGGCUACGAACCAGGCGGUCGGAGGUUCGAAUCCUUCUUGGCGCGCCA
rnacentral:tRNA from 1 species